rnacentral:lncRNA from 1 species
AGGAUGUAGAGAAAAUAUUCCUCAUAAGAAAUGGGAUAUAUGGAGAUGAUCCCAAAAUCUAUAAUGAGAUGAUAUCAUAUAUCGAUUUCAAGAAAUGGUUAGAGACAAUGAAGUCAGAAAUUGAAUCAAUGCACUCAAACUAAGUCUGAACCUUGGUAGACCCACCUAAAGAUAUUGUAUCUAUUGGAUAUAAAUGGAUCUUAAAGAGAAAGAUAGGUGC